AGCACUAAUUUUCAUAAGCAAAGCAAUGAAAUUGAAAAGCAAAUAACAAGAAAAUUUUCAUAUAAUCAAGCGAACACAUUAUUUUUGGGUAAGUUCUAUAGGGUUUCGGGUUAAUUUUGGAUCGACUAUAUCGAGUGUCAGGUUAUUCGGUCAUGGGCUAUUCGGGCUGUAAUUUUUAUUGGAUUGAAAAUGUUCAGCUUAAUCAUCUCGAGAUGACACGUUAAUCGGGUCAGCCCGCGAAUUUCGGGCUGGAUUGACAGUCCAUAGCUUCAAUGCAAAUGUAUUUCACAAAGAACUGACAUAUUGGCCAUAUUCACAAGUAAGUGAAGAUCUAGAAUCAGCAAGCUCUUUCAUGUAAUAAAACUUGAAAAUUUGAUCCAUUUCAUAACUUGAGGUUCGAUGAAAUUAUCAAAAGCAUGUGAACUUCUGAAGAAAUAUCAAACAUUUUUAACAAGAGAACGUUUGUGCAGCUUGUUAAUAUAGCUCAUAGCUUGAAUGUUUUUUAUUAAAACAUUAUUGAGCUUUUCCUUGAAGUGUUGGACUUUCGAACAGCCGGUCAUACCCCGCACGGUCCACCCCUUUAUUCAAUUUUUUAUUUUUUAUUUAGUACUUUUUAUUAUUUAAUUGAUGUUAACUUGAACUUUAAUUGAGAUUAAUAAAAUCUAUUCCCCGAUUUCCAAAGAGUGAUAUGCAUAGAUCUCAAAUCACCUAGAACAAUAACUUAUCUUAAUUAGAGUGGACCCUAUGGUAAAGUCUAGACUCGCCCAAGUUUUUAUCUUCAUUGAAUGGAACAAUUAACUAUGAAUGGAAAAAAAAAAAAUUACUUCUGCCAAGAGUUUAUAGCUCAUGGUCACUCAAACUAUGAGUAACUAAAAAGAAAAGAAACUAUAGUAAGGUAACAAUUAGUGACUCUAAAAAAUUAUAGUAGUAUGAAAGCAAAUACAUAACCAACUCUCUUCUGAGAUGCAUCGUUCUACCACUAAUGAAUAUUUAUCUUACAUUUUUCAAAAUUCAAUUUUUUUAUGACGAAUAACCUAUAAAUGCUAUCUGGUGCGCAUCAAAUAAACCUCGCUCAUGUGCAAUAGCAUGCAUAGUGCUUAGACAUGUAAAAACACAUCAAUCCCAAUAAAUUAAACCAAUUAAUGUUCAU
rnacentral:lncRNA from 1 species